UUGUCUCUCUUGAGUGGAUCCUGAGUACGACGGAGCACGUGAAAUUCCGUCGGAAUCUGGGAGGACCAUCUCCUAAGGCUAAAUACUCUCUAGUGACCGAUAGUGAACCAGUACCGUGAGGGAAAGGUGAAAAGCACCCCGGAAGGGGAGUGAAAUAGAACCUGAAACCGUGUGCUUACAAGUAGUCAGAGCCCGUUAAUGGGUGAUGGCGUGCCUUUUGUAGAAUGAACCGGCGAGUUACGAUUUGAUGCAAGGUUAAGCAGUAAAUGUGGAGCCGUAGCGAAAGCGAGUCUGAAUAGGGCGUUUAGUAUUUGGUCGUAGACCCGAAACCAGGUGAUCUACCCUUGGUCAGGUUGAAGUUCAGGUAACACUGAAUGGAGGACCGAACCGACUUACGUUGAAAAGUGAGCGGAUGAACUGAGGGUAGCGGAGAAAUUCCAAUCGAACCUGGAGAUAGCUGGUUCUCUCCGAAAUAGCUUUAGGGCUAGCCUCAAGUGAUGAUUAUUGGAGGUAGAGCACUGUUUGGACGAGGGGCCCCUCUCGGGUUACCGAAUUCAGACAAACUCCGAAUGCCAAUUAAUUUAACUUGGGAGUCAGAACAUGGGUGAUAAGGUCCGUGUUCGAAAGGGAAACAGCCCAGACCACCAGCUAAG
rnacentral:rRNA from 1 species